UGAAGCUGGGAGUGAAGUUUCUCAGAAUGCCCUUCUCAGUACGAAUCCAGUUGAGUCUAGAGACAAGGAGGAAGACGCCAUUGCUCCCACAUGUCAAGGGCCUGGCUGGCUGAAAAAUCACAAGAAAUGUUACACAAGUUAGACAAUGUGACCUUCACCCAUUAUCUUCAUGCUCCUGGAAUCUGUGAUGCAAAGAACCAUCUACAGCCAGUCAAUAGCUUAUGUUAUUUUAAUGAACCAGUGUGGGAACUUGCCCCUUCUUUCUUUCUUUCAAACCCACUGUAACUGCUGCUAACUGGAGCAUAUGUUCGGAGCCACCUGAAUCUACGUCCCCCAGGAUGCCGUCCUCACACGUGGCCCAAAUAAACCCUCCACAUGUA
rnacentral:lncRNA from 10 species